UACGUAGGGGGCAAGCGUUGUCCGGAAUCAUUGGGCGUAAAGAGCGUGUAGGCGGCUCGAUAAGUCUGCUGUGAAAGUCCAGGGCUCAACCCUGGAAGGCCGGUGGAAACUGUCGGGCUAGAGUCCGGAAGAGGCGAGUGGAAUUCCCGGUGUAGCGGUGAAAUGCGCAGAUAUCGGGAAGAACACCAAUGGCGAAGGCAGCUCUCUGGGACGGUACUGACACUGAGACGCGAAAGCGUGGGGAGCAAACAGG
rnacentral:rRNA from 1 species